GUAUGCCAAGAUUCCUGAUUCCUUUCCUUUCUUCUUUUGUUCCACUCAGGUUGGUUGGUUGGUGAGGUAUUCUUGUGUGGACCUAAAUGGCUGAAAUAUGCACAAAGAGACAAACCUAGACUUAAAUUUGUGAUGACUCUCAUGGAUACCGAAAUCACAGGAUCAGGACAUAGCUCUCAGCUACUGCUCCAGCACCUGCCAGAAUGCCACCAGGCUCCCUGCCAUGAUGAUAAAGGACUAUACCUCUGAAACUGUGAGCUCCUGGCUUCCUGUUCCCACUGCCUGCCACUUGCUGCCAUGCUCCUUGGCAUUGAUGGACUCUUUUCUCUCUUGAACCAUACGCCAAAAUAAACUCUCUCUUCCUUAAGUUGCCUCUGAUUACCGUGUUUUAUCAUAGUGGAAGAAAAGUAACAAACACAGAGAGAAAACAAAACACAGAAGGCCCAAAAGAUACUUGCCACCAAUCCUGAUGACCUGAGUUCAAUCCCAAGACCCACAUGGUAGAAGAGAGUUAACUCCUGAAAGUUGUCCUCUGACCUCUGUAUGUUCACUAUGACACAUGCAUACCCCUACA